rnacentral:rRNA from 1 species
ACACACAGUGUUUUUUGUUAUUACAAGAACUUUUGCUUUGGUCUGGACUAGAAAUAGUUUGGGCCAGAGGUUUACUGAACUAAACUUCAAUAUUUAUAUUGAAUUGUUAUUUAUUUAAUUGUCAAUUUGUUGAUUAAAUUCAAAAAAUCUUCAAAACUUUCAACAACGGAUCUCUUGGUUCUCGCAUCGAUGAAGAACGCAGCGAAAUGCGAUAAGUAAUAUGAAUUGCAGAUUUUCGUGAAUCAUCGAAUCUUUGAACGCACAUUGCGCCCUCUGGUAUUCCAGAGGGCAUGCCUGUUUGAGCGUCAUUUCUCUCUCAAACCUUCGGGUUUGGUAUUGAGUGAUACUCUUAGUUGAACUAGGCGUUUGCUUGAAAUGUAUUGGCAUGAGUGGUACUGGAUAGUGCUAUAUGACUUUCAAUGUAUUAGGUUUAUCCAACUCGUUGAAUAGUUUAAUGGUAUAUUUCUCGGUAUUCUAGGCUCGGCCUUACAAUAUAACAAACAAGUUUGACCUCAAAUCAGGUAGGAUUACCCGCUGAACUUAAGCAUAUCAAUAAGCGGAGGAAAAGAAACCAACAGGGAUUGCCUUAGUAACGGCGAGUGAAGCGGCAAAAGCUC